rnacentral:lncRNA from 10 species
GCAGAUCUGUGAGUAAGGAGCCAGCUGCAGGCAAGCAGCUCGAGGGCAGGUGGGCAUGAUGUCUGGCUACCACUCGCACUGGACGCCACACACACAGCCAGGGUGGCAGAAGGCCCCACCUGCCAUGUGCCAGUGGGACACCACCCUCAUGGUCUGCGUUUCCAGGUUUCCAACUAAGGACUGAGCACACUCUCAACAUGGACCUCCUAACUGCUCUCGAGGAUGGACAGCUGGCCUCAAGGGAACACUGCAAAGUGGCUCUAGGAAGAAGCCACUGUCCCUCCAGACCAUAAAAAUGGCUACCAAGGGCAGAGCCAGCAGCUUUCGCUGUAAAGUUUCUCAAGAAAAUCACAGAUAUUCCCCUCUGUGAUGUUCAGCUCAGCCUGGAAAGGAGGUAAGAAAGACCAGACUACCUGAUCUCUCAAGGUCACCAAAUUCAACCACUGUCCUGUUUAAAAGCGGGUAGUACAGAGGCCAGUGUGGGCUCUGGAAUGAGACAUGUGAAGCCCGGGUCUGCUGGGUCUGCUGCACGGUAGCAGUGUAGUCUUAGGCAUUAUUGAAACUCUGUUUCUAAAUCUGGUUAUGUGAAUGAAAGGGGCUAAUUUAUGUAACACUUUUAGUAUACUAAGCCCUCAAUAUAGUUUAGCUACUUAACUAUUGUCUUCUUUGAAGGACGCUGAACUAAACAGAAGAGAAACAGGGAAAUAAACAGCAUGGCAACCUACAUCAACAGAAACUUAAUUAUUCACCCUGGAUAACUGAGUGUAGGUAGAAACUGAGAGUUGAAGAGGCUGAAUAAUUUCUCAAGCACACUCCCAACUCGACCACCCACAAGCAAAAAGGCAGAGCUGGGAUUCAAACACAGGUAUGACUGUGUGUGGACAUCUCCCCUGUGCUAUGCUCCCUGAAGGAAAAUUCUAAGUGGUGUUGUUUCUGGGAGAAAUCUACCUGUGUGGUCUUUAAACCUACUCUGACAGGAGCAAGGGCCACCACUCUGUAUCUAAGACCACUGGGAACAGUCUUCAGGCAACAAGGUGACCAGGGCAGCUGCAGAGGGUAUCUAUGCCCCUGCCCCCUAGCGCAAAAGUCUGUUUCUCUUUCCAAAUGGCCCGCUGGGAGCAACUAUUUAGGGAGACCAUACCUCCUCCCACACUCAGUUCCCAGGCCUGAGCCACAGAGUCCUGCCACAGGAGGGAGGACCUGCCUGUCCUGCUCCCUCCCCACUCCAGGUUCCUGGAGGCCUCUGUGAUGAUUCCCCAGGAAGGACUACAGGAUCUGGCAGGCAGCAGGUGGCGGUGGGAGGAGGAGAGUCCUGGGAGCACAGCACUCCUAACCCCCUCUGCCUCUCACAGAACAAAGAGGGAGUCAUGCCAUGUCCCCUGCUCCCACAAAUGCCCCACCCAGAGGGGCUAAUGCCUAGGAUUGAGGGUCUUGUGUGCUGAGGAAGUCCUGUCCCCCAAUCCCCUACAAAAGCCAGAACCAGCUACUAAGGGGUUAGACACAGACAGAACUGUCUAUAUUAACAUUUCCUCCUAAAAAACAACAGGAAUCCUGGGGAAAGACCACUGGCCUGGGACUCCAUGAGCCCUGGCUUCUAUCUCUGGCUUUAUCAGGUGACCAUAGGCAAGUCACCUAGCCUCCAUGGUCUAGGCUCUCCUGCCUGUUGGGUGGGAAUCAUUACAUAUCACAAUCAUUACAGCUGACCUUCAGGGAGGCUGUACUCUGGGUCAGGAAUUGUGUUGGGUGCAUUAUCAUAUUUAUUCUCACAGCACCCUUUGCAGUAGCUACUAUUUUCAUACCCAUUCUCAGAUGAGGAAACUGUGGAACAGGCUGGUUAGGGGACAUGCCCAAAGUGACAAACUUAGCAAAGGUGGACCUGGCACUCAGUACCACAUCUGUUUUUCCAUGCUCUUAACCACUGUAACAUACAGAGCCCUUUUACAGAGAUCAAGGACAGAGGUAAAAGUGUUUUGAAAGCAAAAAAAAAAAAGUGGGGAGGAUGCAUAAAAUAAACAUAAAUCACCCCCUGCCCCGCCCAGACAUAAUUCAGGGAAGAGUCCUAACCCCCAAGAACCUUCUGUGGAACUUAUUCGCAACAUCAGAGACCUCCAACAUAGAAAUGACCCUCAAUAAGUCAUUCCUCUUUCCCUUCAGGCAGGAAUAAUAUAACUAACUGAAUUAUACAGGUGAGACCACGAAGGUCAAGCAAGGGUGACCAGCUUAGGCCCCUGGCUGGCAGGUAAGGAGGAGACUGACCCCAGCCUCCUGGCUCCUAGGGGAGGAAACAGUGAUGACAAAGGCCCCUUUGCAUGGCCAAGGUGGAGCCCUUUCUACCAAAGUUUAAACGUUUUAGUAUAAUAUCCAAGUGCAUCUUUUCCAACCUUAAAAACAUAUUUAAUUUCCUUAUAAAGCUGGUUGGCACUCUCCUCCUCCUCCAAAGCUCUGUAUUAGGCAGGGUUCAUAGUUGUAGACAACAGAAUGAACAGUGGUUAGUUCAGCCAGAAAAGGGAUGAUAUAGGAGGAUACUGGGUUGAUCAAAGGCUCUCUGGGAGGGCUGCAGAUUUAGAGCCAGUCAGCCAGGAACGAUGCCUGAAACAUACCUUAGAGCUGGAGAAAGAACAAAACCCUACCUUUCUUCAAUAGCUGGCAAGGUGGCAAGGUCUGGCCCCAUGCAGCCUGGGCUCUUCCCACUCUCCUCUCUCCCUAAUGCGUUGCCCUACUCGCUGCUUCCCAGGCAAUCCCACCUCAGGUCUAUGAACUUGCCAUUCCCUCUGCCUGCAACCUAGACAUUCACAUUGCUAGCUCCCUGGCUAGCUCAAAUGCCAGGUUUCUGCACAAAUGCUCCUCCUUAGAGAGGCCUUCCUGGACCUCUAGGUCUCUGGCCCUAGUACUCUAUCCCCUCUCCCUGCUUUCCUCUUCUACUUCACUGCUCCUUAACAUUGUGUUAUACAUUGUCUGUCUCCCCAACUGGAAUGUAAGUGGCACCAGGGCAGGGACUUGGGUUGUUUUGUUCCUUG